rnacentral:snRNA from 1 species
GGUAAUAACUCUUGUGUUCA